ensembl:snRNA U1 U1 spliceosomal RNA
AUACUUACCUGGCAGGGGAGAUACCGUGCUCACAAAGGUGGUUUUCCCAGGGCAAGGCUUAUCCAUUGUACUCCAGAUGUGCUGACCCCUGUGAUUUCCCCAAAUGUGGGAGACUCAACUGCAUAAUUUGUGGUAGUGAAGGACUGCAUUUGCGCUCUCCCCCG